CAAGCAGGCGGUCUGUUAAGUUUGACGUAAAAUCUCCUGGCUUAACUGGGAGGGGUCGUUGGAGACUGGCAGACUUGAGGCGAUGAGAGGGGCAUGGAAUUCCCGGUGUAGUGGUGGAAUGCGUAGAGAUCGGGAGGAACACCAGAGGCGAAAGCGGUGCCCUGGCAUUGGCCUGACGCUGAGAUGCGAAAGCGUGGGAGCGAACG
rnacentral:rRNA from 1 species